rnacentral:rRNA from 1 species
AGUGAACGCUGGCGGUAGGCCUAACACAUGCAAGUCGAACGGCAGCACAGUAAGAGCUUGCUCUUACGGGUGGCGAGUGGCGGACGGGUGAGGAAUACAUCGGAAUCUACUUUUUCGUGGGGGAUAACGUAGGGAAACUUACGCUAAUACCGCAUACGACCUACGGGUGAAAGCAGGGGAUCUUCGGACCUUGCGCGAUUGAAUGAGCCGAUGUCGGAUUAGCUAGUUGGCGGGGUAAAGGCCCACCAAGGCGACGAUCCGUAGCUGGUCUGAGAGGAUGAUCAGCCACACUGGAACUGAGACACGGUCCAGACUCCUACGGGAGGCAGCAGUGGGGAAUAUUGGACAAUGGGCGCAAGCCUGAUCCAGCCAUACCGCGGGGGUGAAGAAGGCCUUCGGGUUGUAAAGCCCUUUUGUUGGGAAAGAAAAGCAGCAGGUUAAUACCCCGCUGUUCUGACGGUACCCAAAGAAUAAGCACCGGCGAACUUCGU